GACGAACGCUGGCGGCGUGCUUAACACAUGCAAGUCGAACGGAAAGGCCCUGCUUUUGUGGGGUGCUCGAGUGGCGAACGGGUGAGUAACACGUGAGUAACCUGCCCUUGACUUUGGGAUAACUUCAGGAAACUGGGGCUAAUACCGGAUAGGAGCUCCUGCUGCAUGGUGGGGGUUGGAAAGUUUCGGCGGUUGGGGAUGGACUCGCGGCUUAUCAGCUUGUUGGUGGGGUAGUGGCUUACCAAGGCUUUGACGGGUAGCCGGCCUGAGAGGGUGACCGGCCACAUUGGGACUGAGAUACGGCCCAGACUCCUACGGGAGGCAGCAGUGGGGAAUAUUGCACAAUGGGCGGAAGCCUGAUGCAGCAACGCCGCGUGCGGGAUGACGGCCUUCGGGUUGUAAACCGCUUUCGCCUGUGACGAAGCGUGAGUGACGGUAAUGGGUAAAGAAGCACCGGCUAACUACGUGCCAGCAGCCGCGGUGAUACGUAGGGUGCGAGCGUUGUCCGGAUUUAUUGGGCGUAAAGGGCUCGUAGGUGGUUGAUCGCGUCGGAAGUGUAAUCUUGGGGCUUAACCCUGAGCGUGCUUUCGAUACGGGUUGACUUGAGGAAGGUAGGGGAGAAUGGAAUUCCUGGUGGAGCGGUGGAAUGCGCAGAUAUCAGGAGGAACACCAGUGGCGAAGGCGGUUCUCUGGGCCUUUCCUGACGCUGAGGAGCGAAAGCGUGGGGAGCGAACAGGCUUAGAUACCCUGGUAGCCCACGCUGUAAACGGUGGGUACUAGGUGUGGGGUCCAUUCCACGGGUUCCGUGCCGUAGCUAACGCUUUAAGUACCCCGCCUGGGGAGUACGGCCGCAAGGCUAAAACUCAAAGGAAUUGACGGGGCCCCGCACAAGCGGCGGAGCAUGCGGAUUAAUUCGAUGCAACGCGUAGAACCUUACCUGGGUUUGACAUGGAUCGGGAGUGCUCAGAGAUGGGUGUGCCUCUUUUGGGGUCGGUUCACAGGUGGUGCAUGCCUGUCGUCAGCUCGUGUCGUGAGAUGUUGGGUUAAGUCCCGCAACGAGCGCAACCCUUGUUCACUGUUGCCAGCACGUUAUGGUGGGGACUCAGUGGAGACCGCCGGGGUCAACUCGGAGGAAGGUGGGGAUGACGUCAAGUCAUCAUGCCCCUUAUGUCCAGGGCUUCACGCAUGCUACAAUGGCUGGUACAGAGAGUGGCGAGCCUGUGAGGGUGAGCGAAUCUCGGAAAGCCGGUCUCAGUUCGGAUUGGGGUCUGCAACUCGACCUCAUGAAGUCGGAGUCGCUAGUAAUCGCAGAUCAGCAACGCUGCGGUGAAUACGUUCCCGGG
rnacentral:rRNA from 1 species